rnacentral:rRNA from 1 species
AACCUUUACACUGCACGCGAGUGCGAUAAGGGGACUCCAAGUGCGAGGGCAUAUAGUCCUCGCUUUUCACCACCGUAAGGAGGUGGUAGAAUAAGUGCUGGGCAAGACCGGUGCCAGCCGCCGCGGUAAUACCGGCAGCACGAGUGAUGACCGCUAUUAUUGGGCCUAAAGCGUCCGUAGCUGGCCACACAAGUCUAUCGGGAAAUCUGCGCGCUUAACGCGCAGGGCUCCGGUGGAAACUGUGUGGCUUGGGACCGGAAGACCAGAGGGGUACGUCCGGGGUAGGAGUGAAAUCCCGUAAUCCUGGACGGACCACCGGUGGCGAAAGCGCCUCUGGAAGACGGAUCCGACGGUGAGGGACGAAAGCUCGGGUCACGAACCGGAUUAGAUACCCGGGUAGUCCGAGCUGUAAACGAUGUCUGCUAGGUGUGGCACAGGCUACGAGCCUGUGCUGUGCCGUAGGGAAGCCGAGAAGCAGACCGCCUGGGAAGUACGUCCGCAAGGAUGAAACUUAAAGGAAUUGGCGGGGGAGCACUACAACCGGAGGAGCCUGCGGUUUAAUUGGACUCAACGCCGGACAUCUCACCAGCAUCGACAAUGUGCAGUGAAGGUCAGAUUGAUGAUCUUACUGGAGCCAUUGAGAGGAGGUGCAUGGCCGCCGUCAGCUCGUACCGUGAGGCGUCCUGUUAAGUCAGGCAACGAGCGAGACCCACACUCUUAAUUGCCAGCAACACCCUUGUGGUGGUUGGGUACAUUAGGAGGACUGCCAGUGCCAAACUGGAGGAAGGAAUGGGCAACGGUAGGUCAGUAUGCCCCGAAUGUGCUGGGCGACACGCGGGCUACAAUGGCCAAGACAGCGGGAUGCAACCCCGAAAGGCGACGCUAAUCUCCGAAACUUGGUCGUAGUUCGGAUUGAGGGCUGAAACUCGCCCUCAUGAAGCUGGAUUCGGUAGUAAUCGCGCUUCAGAAGAGCGCGGUGAAUACGUCCCUGCUCCUUGCACACACCGCCCGUCAAAGCACCCGAGUGGGGUCCGGAUGAGGCCCUGGUUCCAGGGUCGAAUCUG